CCUGGUAUGUGUGAUGAGAUGGUUUGAUGCACCCAAGGCUGCUUUCUGUCACUUUGCCGAAUGGUGUGGGACAACAUGUAUCCGUAGGGCAUAAAGUCCCCAGCUUUCCAUGUCAGGGGACUGCAACCAGCUGCUUAUUGGGGUUGGUCCAUGUUGGCUCCUAGUCAUUGUUCAGGAAGGUGCUAAUUGUCAUGAGCCAAGAGGGUGUGAAGGAGCAGGGUAACAGCAGACAUGAUUUGACUACCAGUGUCUGGGAAUAUUCCUUUGCAUUGCAUAGUAGUAAGGAUGUAAUCAGCCCUUGUAGGCUACUAUCUUAUUAAAUAGCACCAAUGCAAAAAAAAAAAACCCCUCAUUUAUGGCAGUUGAAUGUAUUGCAGUGUAGUUGGGAAAAAAGAAUUCAGGUUCUGUCUAAAGCCUGAGUGAGGCUCUCUUGGGAGCACAGUAUCAGGGAGGGAGUUUAAGGGGUUGUGUGUAAUCGUGUGAAAGUGAGCUCUCGAUGGAGUAGUGGGACAGAAAGGUUCUCUGCAACUCUGGAGAGCAAGUAGCAGGGAGGUGACUUUGUCCCUUUAAAGGAGGGGACGCUGGCUGGUGUCUGCACUUGAAGAAGGGUGGGGAAAUGCCACGAAGAAUUCAAAGGAGGGUCAUAAAUGGCUUGGAAUUGCCAAACCAGAACUCCAGGCUUAAGGAGCUCAGUUUAUUUGGCUAAUUGGGAUAAAGGCUGGUGAGGGCGUGACUUGAUUGCCAUGUCUAGUGGAAGAAAGCUUCGAUCAGCAGGUUUGGGGUGCAGAAGGAACUCUUGGAAGUUUUAUGCCUUUUUUCAGAUUUUAGAGGAAAUCAUGUGUCUCUACGGUUGCAGCUUUAGUCUAAAAUACUGGGCGUACUAGGUAGAGGUCUUGGGUGUAAGGAACUGAUCUGCAGUGUACUGAAGGCAGGACGGGCCAUUUGAGUCUUUCUGCCUUUAUGCUCAGAGCUCUGAUACUCCCUAACACCUUCCUCUCUCCAUCCCUGGGGUAGGGUAGUUCUGGAACGCUGGGCAUAGUUUAAACUAUCAGGUCAAAAUGCUUUGGAGCCAUCUCAAGGCAGGCAUCUAAAAUAGGUGGGUUUCCCACUGGUAAUGACUGUUGUCCUCCAGUGACCGUGGGGGGAGGCCAGACAGCUGGUUGAGACGUGGACUCCUGAACUUUGGAUGUCUGAAGCUGCACAAGAUGAACCCCCCCUCACCACCUGCAGGAGUGAGAAGGAGCUACUAGAACAAAGCACCUAAUGAAAUGCUGUCUGACGCCAUCCAAGACGAAAAUAAUACAGAAACUUUAAUCAGCUCUCACAAGCUGAGCAGUCCCUGGAGGUCCUGUACCGAGCCUGACCCACUUGCUGGGCCCCAGUGGUGCGGCACCGGGCGCUCCUCCGUCUGCCUUCGGAGAAAUGAAAGGACAGCGAUCUAAAAAGAGACAAGGAGGCACAGGGGAAGGCACUGAGUGGACUGUCUGCAACGGAGGCUCAUGAUGAACCCAGUCUCCCGUCCCUAAGCUCCUUAAAGGAGAUGUGACCACUUUGCUACGGCUUCAGAUUGGGGCAUCUAAGCGGACAAAGCAAUGGAAGAUGUUGCUGGGAAGAUGAUUCCCACAUGCUCCCCAGAAGGGCUGCUGAACUGCCAAACAAACACCGAGCUUUCACCCUCCUGCGUGUACCCAUCCCGCGAGCUGCAGCUGGGAUGCCGUCAGCCCUCGCUGGACCCCAGGAGGAUGCGAGGUGCUGGCACUCGCCGGCAUGCCGAGGCCUGCCUGGCUGGACACCCCCGGUGGAGCGAUGCUCCAGGGCCUUUGGACAACGCUCCAGCAAAGUGAGAGCAAACCACCUCCUCCCUGGGCACAACACACCUUGAUUUUCUGAUAUUUUUUUCUUUUUUUUUCUUUUGGCUGACUGAGGAACUGAAGUACAAUCCUCUUUCACCUAUUUGACAUUCAUUCACUGAUGGAUGGCCGAAGGUCUUGUUUGGUUUUUAACUGAUAGGGUGAUGAUGUGAUUAUAAACCUAACAUUCGUGGCGUAUUUUUGAGCCAUCUGAAAAGUGUGAGUCAUUACGGAAAACGUGAGAAUGGUGAGGUUUGUGGGAUAAAUUUUUUUAAUCCCUGAAUUUCAUUCCCAGUUUUGAAUGAAGCAACUGUAUUUCAUGGGAGUGAAAAAACUGGGUUCUUUCCCCUUUUCUUGCUGCAGU